rnacentral:rRNA from 1 species
GUCGAGAAUCUUUCACAAUGGGGGCAACCCUGAUGGUGCAACGCCGCGUGGAGGAUGAAGGUCUUCGGAUUGUAAACUCCUGUCAUCUGGGAGUAAGACCUGACGGUGAAUAGCCGGCAGGGUUGAUAGUACCAGAAGAGGAAGGGACGGCUAACUUCGUGCCAGCAGCCGCGGUAAUACGAAGGUCCCAAGCGUUGUUCGGAAUUACUGGGCGUAAAGGGAGCGUAGGCGGCGUGGUAAGUCAGAUGUGAAAGCCCGGGGCUCAACCCCGGAACUGCAUCCGAUACUGCCAUGCUUGAGGGUUGGAGAGGUAGCUGGAAUUCUCGGUGUAGCAGUGAAAUGCGUGGAUAUCGAGAGGAACACUCGUGGCGAAGGCGAGCUACUGGACAACAUCUGACGCUGAGGCUCGAAGGCCAGGGGAGCAAAAGGGAUUAGAUACCCGGGUAGUCC